rnacentral:rRNA from 1 species
UACGGAGGGGGCUAGCGUUGUUCGGAAUUACUGGGCGUAAAGCGCGCGUAGGCGGCUUUGCAAGUUAGAUGUGAAAGCCUGGAGCUUAACUCCAGAACUGCCUUUAAAACUGCAUCGCUAGAAUCGUGGAGAGGUGAGUGGAAUUCCGAGUGUAGAGGUGAAAUUCGUAGAUAUUCGGAAGAACACCAGUGGCGAAGGCGACUCACUGGACACGUAUUGACGCUGAGGUGCGAAAGCCAGGGGAGCAAACGGG